CAGCUCUCAUUCGACUUUAAACAAUAACAGCUUACAAUACAUCCCAUUUGUCAGCCACAGCCUCACAAAUCCUUGAGAUACACCAGGCAGCGCUCAGCGGAUAUCCAGAAAUUGCUAUGAAAUCAUCUAUAUAAUCACAAUCAAUUUUUCCAUGGGCCGUUGCACCAACCACAAAAACAAUAUCCACAUCAUCACUGACUGCAGCUACAUACUUGUUCAUUUUAACCAGUUUUUCUGAACUAUAUGAGAACCCUAUUUUACGAGAGUUGACAGGCAGGUACUGGGUCACAGGAUUCUUGAUUACACGCAAAAGCUUCUCACGCUUACCAACAGCAGUUAU
rnacentral:misc_RNA from 1 species